rnacentral:rRNA from 1 species
AUUGAACGCUGGCGGCAGGCCUAACACAUGCAAGUCGAGCGAGCGGCGGACGGGUGAGUAAUGCCUGGGAAUUGCCCAGUCGAGGGGGAUAACAGUUGGAAACGACUGCUAAUACCGCAUACGAUUGGAUUGCCCAGGUGGGAUUAGCUAGUUGGUGAGGUAAUGGCUCACCAAGGCGACGAUCCCUAGCUGGUCUGAGAGGAUGGAUAGGCAAAAUGGAACUGAGGACAGGGCUAGGACCCCACGGGGGGGAGGAGGGGGGAAUAUUGGACAAUGGGGGAAACCCGGAAGGAGGCAUGCCGCAGGUGGGGAGAAGGCCUUCGGGUUGUAAAGCACUUUCAGCGAGGAGGCGUUACUCGCAGAAGAAGCACCGGCUAACUCCGUGCCAGAGCCGCGGUAAUAC